rnacentral:rRNA from 1 species
UACGUAGGGUGCAAGCGUUAAUCGGAAUUACUGGGCGUAAAGCGUGCGCAGGCGGUUUUGUAAGUCUGUCGUGAAAUCCCCCGGGCUCAACCUGGGAAUGGCGAUGGAGACUGCAAGGCUAGAGUUUGGCAGAGGGGGGUAGAAUUCCACGUGUAGCAGUGGAAAUGCGUAGAUAUGAUGGAGGAACACCGAUGGCGAAGGCAGCCCCUGGGUCAAAACUGACGCUCAUGCACGAAAGCGUGGGGAGCAAACAGG